rnacentral:rRNA from 1 species
CGGCGCACGGGUGCGCACCGCGUAUGGAACCUGCCUUCUACAGGGGAAUAGCCCAGGGAAACUUGGAUUAAUGCCCCGUGGCACCACAUCACGGCAUCGUGAUAUGGUUAAAGCCUUCGGGCGGUAGAAGAUGGCCAUGCGUCCCAUUAGCUUGUUGGUAAGGUAACGGCUUACCAAGGCUACGAUGGGUAGGGGCCCUGAGAGGGGGAUCCCCCACACUGGUACUGAGACACGGACCAGACUCCUACGGGAGGCAGCAGUGAGGAAUAUUGGACAAUGGGCGAGGGCCUGAUCCAGCCAUGCCGCGUGC